rnacentral:rRNA from 1 species
GACGAACGCUGGCGGCGUGCUUAACACAUGCAAGUCGAACGGUAAGGCCCUUCGGGGUACACGAGUGGCGAACGGGUGAGUAACACGUGGGUGAUCUGCCCUGCACUUCGGGAUAAGCCUGGUAAACUGGGUCUCAUACCGGAUAGGACCACUGCCUGCAUGGGUGGUGGUGGAAAGCUUUUGCGGUGUGGGAUGGGCCCGCGGCCUAUCAGCUUGUUGGUGGGGUGAUGGGCUACCAAGGCGACGACGGGUAGCCGGCCUGAGAGGGUGACCGGCCACACUGGGACUGAGAUACGGCCCAGACUCCUACGGGAGGCAGCAGUGGGGAAUAUUGCACAAUGGGCGCAAGCCUGAUGCAGCGACGCCGCGUGAGGGAUGACGGCCUUCGGGUUGUAAACCUCUUUCAGCACCGACGAAGCGCAAGUGACGGUAGGUGCAGAAGAAGGACCGGCCAACUACGUGCCAGCCGCCGCCGUAA